rnacentral:rRNA from 1 species
GGGUUGUGAGGUUAAGCGACUAAGCGUACACGGUGGAUGCCCUGGCAGUCAGAGGCGAUGAAGGACGUGCUAAUCUGCGAUAAGCGCCGGUAAGGUGAUAUGAACCGUUAUAACCGGCGAUUUCCGAAUGGGGAAACCCAGUGUGAUUCGUCACACUAUCAUUAACUGAAUCCAUAGGUUAAUGAGGCGAACCGGGGGAACUGAAACAUCUAAGUACCCCGAGGAAAAGAAAUCAACCGAGAUUCCCCCAGUAGCGGCGAGCGAACGGGGAGGAGCCCAGAGCCUGAAUCAGCAUGUGUGUUAGUGGAAGCGUCUGGAAAGGCGCGCGAUACAGGGUGACAGCCCCGUACACAAAAGCGCAUGUGCUGUGAGCUCGAUGAGUAGGGCGGGACACGUGGUAUCCUGUCUGAAUAUGGGGGGACCAUCCUCCAAGGCUAAAUACUCCUGACUGACCGAUAGUGAACCAGUACCGUGAGGGAAAGGCGAAAAGAACCCCGGCGAGGGGAGUGAAAAAGAACCUGAAACCGUGUACGUACAAGCAGUGGGAGCACAGGUUUACCUGUGUGACUGCGUACCUUUUGUAUAAUGGGUCAGCGACUUAUAUUCUGUAGCAAGGUUAACCGUAUAGGGGAGCCGUAGGGAAACCGAGUCUUAACCGGGCGUUAAGUUGCAGGGUAUAGACCCGAAACCCGGUGAUCUAGCCAUGGGCAGGUUGAAGGUUGGGUAACACUAACUGGAGGACCGAACCGACUAAUGUUGAAAAAUUAGCGGAUGACCUGUGGCUGGGGGUGAAAGGCCAAUCAAACCGGGAGAUAGCUGGUUCUCCCCGAAAGCUAUUUAGGUAGCGCCUCGUGAAUUCAUCUCCGGGGGUAGAGCACUGUUUCGGCUAGGGGGCCAUCCCGGCUUACCAACCCGAUGCAAACUGCGAAUACCGGAGAAUGUUAUCACGGGAGACACACGGCGGGUGCUAACGUCCGUCGUGAAGAGGGAAACAACCCAGACCGCCAGCUAAGGUCCCAAAGUCAUGGUUAAGUGGGAAACGAUGUGGGAAGGCCCAGACAGCCAGGAUGUUGGCUUAGAAGCAGCCAUCAUUUAAAGAAAGCGUAAUAGCUCACUGGUCGAGUCGGCCUGCGCGGAAGAUGUAACGGGGCUAAACCAUGCACCGAAGCUGCGGCAGCGAACGUAUCACCCAAGACAACUUUACGGAGUUGACGAUUGACGGAGCGAAGCGACGUCAAAGCGUUCAUUAAAGUCGAGUUGGCUUAGGGAUACGUUCGUUGGGUAGGGGAGCGUUCUGUAAGCCUGUGAAGGUGUGUCGUGAGGCAUGCUGGAGGUAUCAGAAGUGCGAAUGCUGACAUAAGUAACGAUAAAGCGGGUGAAAAGCCCGCUCGCCGGAAGACCAAGGGUUCCUGUCCAACGUUAAUCGGGGCAGGGUGAGUCGACCCCUAAGGCGAGGCCGAAAGGCGUAGUCGAUGGGAAACGGGUUAAUAUUCCCGUACUUGGUGUUACUGCGAAGGGGGGACGGAGAAGGCUAUGUUGGCCGGGCGACGGUUGUCCCGGUUUAAGCGUGUAGGUGUGUGUUCCAGGUAAAUCCGGUUCACUUUAACACUGAGGCGUGACGACGAGGCACUACGGUGCUGAAGCAACAAAUGCCCUGCUUCCAGGAAAAGCCUCUAAGCAUCAGGUAACACGAAAUCGUACCCCAAACCGACACAGGUGGUCAGGUAGAGAAUACCAAGGCGCUUGAGAGAACUCGGGUGAAGGAACUAGGCAAAAUGGUGCCGUAACUUCGGGAGAAGGCACGCUGACACGUAGGUGAAGUGAUUUACUCAUGGAGCUGAAGUCAGUCGAAGAUACCAGCUGGCUGCAACUGUUUAUUAAAAACACAGCACUGUGCAAACACGAAAGUGGACGUAUACGGUGUGACGCCUGCCCGGUGCCGGAA